UUAACCACUUCAGUACCAUGAUACGUCUUCAUAUUUAUUCUGGUUACUAUUUGGUGAUUUUAUACAGCUUCAGAAACUCACGUGGGGAUUAAAUUAGUGAGGACUCUGGACCAUUAAUCUUCCAAUCUCCAUAAACCCUUCCUAAUGUAAAUAAAAUCGUCUAAUCACACCUAAAAUCCAUGGUACUGAAGGGGUUAAAGAUGAAACAGCUCAUCAACUCAUCAAUGGGCCAAACAGUUCAACUAUUGGGCAACCAUGUAUACACCUCAUAACUCAUCGACUAACACACUCCCUCCAGCCAACCAGAGUGCAGGUUGGCGGCGUCACCUUAACUCAAUAUUUGGGCGGAAAUCUUGGUAAUUACAGGUAGAUUAUGACCCUUACUGACGGACAAACAGGUAGACAGGUAGACGGACAGACACACAGACAUACAGACAACCUAUAUAUUGUUGUGGGUGAAGCAAAAAACUAAACAGAAAAGAAAUUAAUGGUAAUAAUGACAUGAAUAAGAAAAAAAAAAUGCUAAAAGGUUAUAGUUUUUAGAAAUUUGGUUGUGUUUAGGUAAAAAAAUAACAAAAUAUUUACAGGAAAAAUAGUUUAAUGUAAAGUUUGUCGUGUGUUUCAUUAUUGUCAUUAGAUUUGUAGUAAUUCACCAUUCAAUAGUCUCUGUAUAUAGAUUUCCUCUUUUUUUUUUUCGCUUCAUCCACUUAAUCCAUCUGAACAGCUCAACUCACUACAUAAGGUACAAAUACACUGCCUUCGUUUUUGGUUUUAAAAGUCUGCAUCUUUUGCCCUAAAACAACGAGGACUCCACUGCAUAGCCAGGUGUGGUGAUGUGUGGUGUGUGGUGGUGUGUGGUGUCAUGGUGUGGUGAUAUAUAGUCAUGUGUGGUGGUGUGAUGUGUGGUGGUUUGGUGUGUGGUGGUGUGGUGUUGUGAUGUGUGGUGGUGUGGUGUGUGUGGUGCGGUGAUGUUUUGUAAUGUGGUAUAAUGUGUGGUAGUGUGGUGGUGUGAUGUUGUGAGGAUAUGGAACAAAUAGUGGUGAUCAGGGUGACGAUGAUGAUGGUGGUACUGAUGGUGUGUGUGUGUGUGUGUGUGUGUGUGUGUGUGUGUGUGUGUGUGUGUGUGUGUGUGUGUGUGUGUGUGUGUGUGUGUGUGUGUGU